GCGGAUGUGGUGUAAUUGGUAGCCACGCCAGACUUAGGAUCUGGUGCCUUAACCGGCGUGGGGGUUCGAGUCCCUUCAUCCGCA
rnacentral:tRNA from 1 species